GAAUCUUCCACAAUGGACGAAAGCCUGAUGGAGCAAUGCCGCGUGAGCGAAGAAGGUUUUCGGAUCGUAAAGCCCUGUCGUCAGGGAAGAACACGUCCGGGAGCAACUGCCCGUGCCAUGACGGUACCUUAGUAGAAAGCCACGGCAACCUCACUGCCAGCAGCCGCGGUAAUACGUAGGUGGCAAGCGUUGUCCGGAAUUAUUGGGCGUAAAGCGCGCGCGGGCGGUUCUUUAAGUCUGAUGUGAAAGCCCACGGCUCAACCGUGGAGGGUCAUUGGAAACUGGAGAGCUUGAGUACAGAAGAGGAGAGCGGAAUUCCACGUGUAGCGGUGAAAUGCGUAGAGAUGUGGAGGAACACCAGUGGCGAAGGCGGCUUUCUGGUCUGUAACUGACGCUGCGGCGCGAAAGCGUGGGGAGCAAAC
rnacentral:rRNA from 1 species